GACGAACGCUGGCGGCGUGCCUAAUACAUGCAAGUCGAGCGGAUCUUUAGAAGCUUGCUUCUAAAGAUUAGCGGCGGACGGGUGAGUAACACGUGGGCAACCUGCCUGUAAGACUGGGAUAACUUCGGGAAACCGAGGCUAAUACCGGAUAAUCCUUUCUCUCACAUGAGGGAAAGCUGAAAGACGGCGCAAGCUGUCACUUACAGAUGGGGCCCGCGGCGCAUUAGCUAGUUGGUGAGGUAACGGCUCACCAAGGCAACGAUGCGUAGCCGACCUGAGAGGGCGAACGGCCACACUGGAACUGAGACACGGUCCAGACUCCUACGGGAGGCUG
rnacentral:rRNA from 1 species